UCAGUCAUAGUUUGUUUAAUGGUAUUUAUUACUCGAAUAAUCAUAGUAACUCUAGAGAUAAUACAUGCAACAAACCCCAACUUUUUAAAGGGAUGCAUAUAUUAGAUAAAAGGUAGAUGUGGGCUCUUCCCCUGUUUUUGAUGAUUCAUGAUAACUAAAUGGAUUGCACAGUCAUUAUGUUGGCGACACAUCAUUCAAAUUUUUGC
rfam:Capsicum annuum cultivar Zunla-1 chromosome 3, whole genome shotgun sequence